GACGAACCGUGCGAACGUUGUUCGGAAUCACUGGGCUUAAAGGGCGCGUAGGCGGGUCGGCAAGUCAGGGGUGAAAGCCCGCGGCUCAACCGCGGAAGUGCCUUUGAUACUGCCGGUCUUGAGGGAGGCAGGGGAGCGCGGAACUUCCGGUGGAGCGGUGAAAUGCGUAGAUAUCGGGAGGAACACCUAUGGCGAAGGCAGCUCGCUGGGACGUUACUGACGCUGAGACGCGAAAGCGUGGGGAGCAAACAGG
rnacentral:rRNA from 1 species